rnacentral:rRNA from 1 species
AUGUAAUCUAAUGCCUACAACGUUAAUGCAUAAUAUCCCAUUAGAAAUAUGCAGUUAAAAGCGCUUGGGCUAGAGUAGUACUGGGAUGGGUGACCUCCCGGGAAGUCCUAGUGUUUUCCAUG